rnacentral:rRNA from 1 species
UGAGGAAUAUUGGUCAAUGGACGGGAGUCUGAACCAACCAAGUAGCGUGCAGGAUGACGGCCCUAUGGGUUGUAAACUGCUUUUAUAGGGGGAUAAAGUGUGCCACGUGUGGCAUAUUGCAGGUACCCUAUGAAUAAGGACCGGCUAAUUCCGUGCCAGCAGCCGCGGUAAUACGGAAGGUCCGGGCGUUAUCCGGAUUUAUUGGGUUUAAAGGGAGCGCAGGCGGGCUUUUAAGUCAGUUGUGAAAUACGGCGGCUCAACCGUCGGACUGCAGUUGAUACUGGAAGCCUUGAGUUCACACAGGGAUGUCGGAAUUCAUGGUGUAGCGGUGAAAUGCUCAGAUAUCAUGAAGAACCCCGAUCGCGAAGGCAGGCAUCCG